rnacentral:rRNA from 1 species
UGGGGAAUCUUGCGCAAUGGGCGAAAGCCUGACGCAGCAACGCCGCGUGCGGGACGACGGCCCUCGGGUUGUAAACCGCUUUCAGCAGGAACGAUGAUGACGGUACCUGCAGAAGAAGCUCCGGCCAACUACGUGCCAGCAGCCGCGGUAAUACGUAGGGAGCAAGCGUUGUCCGGAUUUAUUGGGCGUAAAGAGCUCGUAGGCGGUUCGGUAAGUCGGGUGUGAAAACUCUGGGCUCAACCCGGAGAGGCCACUCGAUACUGCCGUGACUUGAGUCUGGUAGGGGAGCACGGAAUUCCUGGUGUAGCGGUGAAAUGCACAGAUAUCAGGAGGAACACCGGUGGCGAAGGCGGUGCUCUGGGCCAGUACUGACGCUGAGGAGCGAAAGCGUGGGGAGCGAACAGG